UAAAAGGUUUUUUUUUGCAGUGAAUCAUUGAAAACCAUCAAUUUUAGUAGAAAAUGAUUCU
rfam:Fukomys damarensis contig156316, whole genome shotgun sequence.